rnacentral:rRNA from 1 species
UACAGAGGUCUCAAGCGUUGUUCGGAAUCACUGGGCGUAAAGGGUGUGUAGGCGGUGUGUUAAGUCAGAUGUGAAAGCCCUGGGCUCAACCUAGGAAGUGCACUCGAAACUGCUUCGCUUGAGUGCCGGAGAGGAAAGCGGAAUUCUCGGUGUAGAGGUGAAAUUCGUAGAUAUCGAGAGGAACAUCGGUGGCGAAGGCGGCUUUCUGGACGGUAACUGACGCUGAGACGCGAAAGCGUGGGGAGCAAACAGG